rnacentral:rRNA from 1 species
UCGAAGUGGGGGGCGGGGGGGGCGGUAUGACUGAGGGGGCGGGGGUGGGUCGGAAGUACUGGGCGGAAAGGGCGCGUAGGGGGUUUGUCGCGGCGUCGGUGAAAUUCCGGGGCUUAAGUCCGGGCGUGCAGGCGAUACGGGCAUAACUUGAGUACUGUAGGGGAGACUGGAAUUCCUGGUGUAGCGGUGAAAUGCGCAGAUAUCAGGAGGAACACCGGUGGCGAAGGCGGGUCUCUGGGCAGUAACUGACGCUGAGGAGCGAAAGCAUGGGGAGCGAACAGGAUUAGAUACCCCGGUAGUC